GCUCCUGAGUAGCUGGGAUUACAGGCGCCCUCCACCACGCCCGGCGAAUUUUUGUAUCUUUAGUAGAGACAGGGUUUCACCACGUUGGCCAGGUUGGUCUUGAACUCCUGACCUCAUGAUCCGCCUGCCUCGGCCUCCCAAAGUGUUGGGAUUACAGGUGUGAGCCACCGCACCCGGCCUCUGAGAAAUAUUUAGAUUGUACGCCUCAAAUGGGCAGGGACUGUGUCUUACACUUUUGUAUUUAUGCUACAGCUUACCUAAUACAGUGCCAGGCCUCGUUAAACACUUAUUGAUUGCUCAGACGAUAAAGAACUUGCUUUGGAAGGAGGAGAGGAUAGUCAUGUGCUUCUGAAUGUAUUGAACUUCUUGAAAUCUCUUUCCUCAUCAAUUUUAGCAGAGUUUCUAUUGAAACUCCUAGGGUGUGUUUAUGGAAGACAAACUGAGAUGUGCUGUCCCAGCCUUAGGCCCUGGCAGUACGCCUUGCCUUUUCACGGCACACCCACUACAGCCUUUCCCACACUGUGACACUGGAGCUGGUGAGUCAUGCAUGGCAUGGGAAGCCCUCUCUAGGAGGAUGCUGUGGCCACACAAGCGCUGGACGAACCGCUGGAGUAGGUGACUUCCAAGGUGUCCUGAUGUAGUAGCUAUUAGACAAGCUCCUGCAUUUGGCCAGUAAUUAGCAUGCUGCUGCACAUUGCCACUAGGUGGUGCUGCUGCUCCAUUCCCAAGUAACCCACAUGCAUCCCUGGCUGGGGUCAGCCUUGGGGUUUCCCAAGUGUAGAGGAAUCCAUCUCUGUGCCUGUGGUAAUGGCUGGACACCAGGAGAGACCCAGAAAACAGGGAUAUCCUAGAAGAGAAAGGCAAAAUAAGCACUCAGAGCAGAGGACAUUUGAGUGUCAAUAAUGAAGGUGGCAGCAGUAAUCAUGGCUAUCAUUUACUAAAAAUAGUGGAUAUUGGCCAGACAUGGUGGCUCACACCUGUAAUCCCAGCAUUUUGGGAGACCAAGGUGGGUGGAUCACUUGAGGUCAGCAGUUCGAGACCAGCCCGGCCAACAUGGUGAAACUAUCUACUAAAAAUACAAAAAUUAGCCAGGUGUGGUGGUGCACGCCUGUAGUCCCAGCUACUCGGGAGGCUGAGGAAGGAGAAUCACUUGAACCUGGGAGGUGGAGGCUGUAGUGAGCUGAGAUCGCAUCACUGCACUCCAGCCUGGACAACAGAGCAAGACUGUCUCAAAAAAAAAAAGUAGAUACUGUGCUAGUCACUUGAUACACAUCAUCUCUGAUCUUUGCACUGAGCGAGGCAUGUGUAUUAUGUCUGCAUUACAAAAGGGGAAAAAUUAAGGUUCAAGAAGAUAAAGUCACCAGGCAUGGUGGCGCAUGCCUGUGAUCGCAGCACUUUAAGAGGCUGAGACAGGCGGAUUGGUUGAAUCCAGGAGUUCAAGACCAGCCUGGGCAACAUAGUGAGACCUCAUCUCUACAAAAAAAAUAAAAUUAGCUGGGUGUGGUGGUGUGUGCCUGUAGUCACAGCUCCUCGGGAGGCUGAUGUGGAAGGAUCACUUGAGCCCGGGAGAUAGAGGCUGCAGUGAGAUGAGACUGAGCCAUUGCACUCAGCCUAGGCAACAGAGUGAGACCCUGUCUCAAAACAAAACAGAAAUAACAAAAAAUAAGGUGACUUGCUGGAGGCCACAUGGCUGUGAGCCAAAUACAGGUCUGGGUUAUCAGGGCUCACAUACUUCUAAGUACACCCUACUGCCUUGGAAUCUGCUGAAGACCAAGCCCCUGCCCCCAAGCCAUGGCAAAGAAGGAGGGAAGGAAGCAAAGGUGCCCAGCGGGGACAACUCGGGGAGGGGCGAGGUGCCCAGGGCCCAGGAAGGCCAAGCAGCAUGUGGCAGGGCAGCAUCAGGUGACUCCCAAGAAGGAAUGAGGAGAGGAUGUGAGGAAAGAGCCACAGCACAGAGGCCUGCUGUUAGGUCAGCGGAGACCACGGCCCAUGGGACCUGGAUCUACCCUUGAUGCUAACAAUGUUCUUUGGGGAAAAAAUCUAUAAUCACAAAGUUUCUGCAACUGGACUGUAGUCAUGGUUGCAGAACUGUAUAGAUUUACUAGGAACCAUCAAAUUGUUCACUUACAAUGGGUAAAUUGUACAGUACAUAGGUUAUCCCUCAGUAAAGCUGUAUGAAAUUUAUAGUCAUGAAACUAAUAGUGACAAACGAGCUGGGUAAGUAGGUCUCAGCUGUUCUGUAGGCACUUUGAGAAGAGGAAGAGUAGCAUCUCGGUUUUAAUAAAAGAAAGCCUGGCCCAUGGCGUCCAGCUUCUGCUUGAAUACUUUCAGUGCCCGGGAGCUCAGUAUCUCAAAGCAGCCCACUCCUGUUUAAGAGAACUCUAAACCUUAGAAUGUUGAAAUACAUCAUUAUUAUUCUAGUACUGCUGUGAAAAAUAAAUGUCUUUGUUUUGCCACAUAA
rnacentral:lncRNA from 1 species